rnacentral:lncRNA from 1 species
ACACCCAGGAAGAGCUGCAGCUGUCUCAGAUCUUAAAACCAUUCAUCGGGAGAACUAGGAAAGGACACCUCUGGGCCUGCCUGUGAGCUGCUGCUAGAGAAGAUUAGCCGAGAACUGAGUGAAUGAGAGCCACCUUGAGAGGAGUGCCAUCUAACAGGCUGGAGGUCCGGGUGACGUGAGAAAGUAGAAAGGGGAAGCAAGCCCUGGAUUAUGAGUUUCUUCCCCAGUGGGUGUGGUUUGAUGCUGCCGAUUCAGAUGAACAUCACACUCCAGCAUCACACUCCAGCUUCUUCAGCCUUUGACAGACCUGCAGCAGUGAGAUGCAAGGACCUUGGAGGCCCUCACCCUCAGACCCAGGACAACCGUUGGCUUCUCAGUCUCUGUUCUCACAAGCAUCUUGUUCUGCGUUCCCUAGCUGACACCCAGCUCUCCAAUCUACAGAGGACUGCUGUGGCCCCACAGAGUACUCCAGACUAUUAGCUUCCUCUUGUUAUUGUAUAUAUUCCUUACCCUUAAUGGUCCCAAUACAAGGGUGAAUUAUCACUCUUCUCAGAUCUGUCACCAUCAAUCCAAUAAUGAAGAGAACCAUUUUCAUCUGAAUAAGCAAUUAACCUCCAAGUGGCAGCGUGGAACCAAGGUCUACAGUGGCUGCUGAGGUCAGACUUGAAGAAAUGACUCACAUGCAAGGCUGAUCUACAUAAGUAGCCUGUGCUAAGACUGCCAUCUGGUAGAACAAUCUACAUCACACGACUCCACGUUUCCUGUUACCCAAGAUUUUUUUAGUGAAAGAGUAACAGAACAGAGCCUCAGUAACAGCAGAGGAGGAAGGAGAAGAAAAUUCUACUUGCUCAUGAAGACUCAAGAUCUGCUCAGGGCAACUAGAAAAUUUAGCCCUGGUGAAGCCAAGAUAAUCUAUGGGCCACAUUCCCCUAAUCUUGUUAUUGAAAUCCUUCUAUUGCAUCAGAAAAAAAGUUAUUUAUCAGUUGACUGUAAGAGGAAUUAUUGCAUAGUCUUUUGUAUAUGAGACCAGAGAGAACGUGCAGAGAUUGUAUUUUACAUUGUAUCUGAAACACAGAUGCUCUGCUCAUAAACAUUCCUCAUGCCUUCUUCAAGCUGUCCAAGCAAAAUAUGAUUUGCUUUUAAAUUUGAAUAUCUUUAAAAAUUAACAAAUUUAAGACUGUCCUAUCUCAAUCUCCCACAUACUAGGAUGGUGGAUGUGUGCCACCUUUUCCGGCCAUGACGUAACAUGUUUAACUGAUUCCUUCUUCUUCAGCAUCUCCAUGCUCUGCAGGUGCAGCUUCGAUGGACCAUGGCCAUAUUGCCCCACUACUAUCAAUCACACUGAGAUGUAGUCCACAGCAUUCAACAAGCCACCACUCAUGGGAUAGAGGAUAGGCAAAAGGAACAACUAAGACAGUAGAGGAGCCCAGCACUCCGAACCCCUAAUCAUGCCUUCGGUGGAUUCCUUUGGUAAAGUUUUCCUUUGUGGGUUUCUUUCAGCACUUGACCCAUAGCCCAUGGAAUGUGUCAGCUCUAAUUGCCUGUGUGGAUUGGCACAAGUCGUGCCUCAAAAUUGGAAUGUUGUCACAUAUAACAUAGCCUUUCAGAGGGAUAAAUGUGGAAAAUGUUUUACCCAUGAAUUCCUUAGAAGCAAUUGUGCUCUAUCACGUGAAAGGCUGAAGACCUGGACAGAACCUAAUGACUAUAUCCCCAAGAUCCCCAAGGUUCAGUGGCUUUCAGGAUGUUGCUCUCCCUGACUCCAUGGACAUCACAGAAUGACAGUUGUCCACUGGAGUAUUCUUCACCCAGGCAGCUUUCUAAAAAAAGGAAAUUUGAGAGUUGCAAGGACAGAUGAAGGGGCUGAGGGCCUGGGAUCCCUUUAUGUGAGACUCAUUAUUGAAGAACAACUUAUACAAUUAUUAUCUGAGGACCAGGUGACAGCUGUCAAGAAGGCCUCCUUGUAAGAGGGUGCAGAAUAUAUGAAAUUUGUCUUUAGGUGAUGAUCUACUACUAAGAGUGAUGCUAUGAGGUUGGCAUCUAAGGAAAAGAAAAGAGGCUGGCAUAUGGUGAGCACCUAGUCUGUGCCAUGAAUUGUGAACUUAACCUUGAAUUCUCGUAUGUUCAUCUAAGGUCUGUUUUCUUUAAGGAGAGAUUGUGACCCUCUUGGUCUGGUAUGCAAGCUGUGAUGAAUACAGAGCUCUUCAGAUGGA